CUACUCCUCUGCCAACCAACUCCUCUAUCGUGUUUUCAAUCUUUUUGACAUAUUUCUACUGCUUUUCCAGCGACCUCGGGAGCCUGGUGGAGGCUACGGCCCGUCCCACGCCCUUGCCGCCGGAGGAGAGCUCCUGACGCCCCGCUCACGCCUGGUGUUCCUCCCGACUACUUACGCCUAAUGCGGACUGACAGAUGCCCUUCCUAUGCGGCAAACUCCACCAUCCCCCUCCAUGGUCAGCUCUUCCAGGGCGUACAGAAGCUGGUCUACUUUAGCAUUCAUGUUCUGUCCGGGCGAGUAACCAAGCAUAUUCCAAUUACGAAUUCAAAUUAAAGGGACAACAAAUUCAGCUUUAGAACCAUCCGUGUACAGAGAUGGUGGGCGCCAUCCAGCAACAUAUGAUCCACUGCUCACUGAGUCAUGUGUCCCAUCUUCAUAACGUGGCGUCACGGCAGCAGUGGAU